AAGGACUCUAAGAUGAAACUGUCACACGUACACGAUGGAAGGAGGCCAACUGACAGCAGAAAUUUCUGACAGUGGGUGUGAAUAUUGUUCUCAAAGUGCUGCCAUACAUCUAUCUCUGGAGAAUUCUCUCAAUGAACAAGUAGAAAUUUGAGGCACCGAAGGCAAAAAGACUUGAACAGCCACCUUCCAUUGUAUCUUGGGAAAGUCAACUGAACUUCCUUGGAUCUCAGACAUUACUUCCGCCAAUUGAAUUAAUACUACCUCAGAAAGAAGUUCUUGCUGUGCACUGGAAGUUCCAUUGGAAGCAUCACUUGGAAGCAUCAGCACCUGGAAGCGAGCACCUCCUCUAGAAGCAACUCCUCUUCAGCGUCUGUGUUCUACAAAGCGUGGCCUCCGGACCAGCAGCAUCGGCCGCAUCUAGAAACUUGUUGAAAAUUCUUGGUCUCCACCCCCUCGUUUCUGCAUCAGAGAUGCUGGUGUGGAGCCUGAGAUGUGUACUUUAACAGGCUCUCCAGGUGAUAGAAGUUUGAGAACUACUGUUAAACACUCUUCUGUGAACCGUAUAUCCGCAACAUGUGAAUCUUGCUGCACUUUCCACUCACCCUUAUCAGU